UACAGAGGUCUCAAGCGUUGUUCGGAUUCAUUGGGCGUAAAGGGUGCGCAGGUGGCGUCGUAAGUCAGGUGUGAAAUCUCGGGGCUCAACCCCGAAACUGCACUUGAUACUGCGAUGCUUGAGUACUGGAGAGGAGAUUGGAAUUUACGGUGUAGCAGUGAAAUGCGUAGAUAUCGUAAGGAAGACCAGUGGCGAAGGCGAAUCUCUGGACAGUUACUGACACUGAGGCACGAAGGCCAGGGGAGCAAACGGG
rnacentral:rRNA from 1 species